rnacentral:ribozyme from 1 species
UUUUUUUUUUUUUUUUUUUUUUUUUUUUUUUUUUUUUUUUUUUUUUUUUUUUUUUUUUGACAGCAGCCAUUCUGUUGAUCCGAUGGUCUGACUCUCCCCUGUCAAAAUAGUAAUGAAAAGA